rnacentral:rRNA from 1 species
GUCACGAGUUUGAUCCUGGCUCAGGAUGAACGCUAGCGGCAGGCCUAACACAUGCAAGUCAGGGGUAGAGUUCUUCGGGACUUGAGACCGGCGCACGGGUGCGUAACGCGUAUGCAAUCUACCUUAUACAGGGGAAUAGCCCAGAGAAAUUUGGAUUAAUGCCCCAUAGUGUUAUCGAAUCGCAUGGUUUGAUAACUAAAGUUCCAACGGUAUAAGAUGAGCAUGCGUCCCAUUAGUUAGUUGGUAAGGUAACGGCUUACCAAGACAAUGAUGGGUAGGGGUCCUGAGAGGGAGAUCCCCCACACUGGUACUGAGACACGGACCAGACUCCUACGGGAGGCAGCAGUGAGGAAUAUUGGUCAAUGGGCGCAAGCCUGAACCAGCCAUGCCGCGUGCAGGAAGACGGUCCUAUGGAUUGUAAACUGCUUUUAUACAGGAAGAAACCCUCCCACGUGUGGGAGCUUGACGGUACUGUAGGAAUAAGGAUCGGCUAACUCCGUG